rnacentral:rRNA from 1 species
AACGAACGCUGGCGGCGCGCCUCAGGCAUGCAAGUCAAGCGGUGUAGCAAUACACAGUGGCAAACGGGUGAGUAACACGUGGGAAUCUACCUCUAGGUGGGGGAUAACAUAGGGAAACCUGUGCUAAUACCGCAUAAUGUCUUCGGACCAAAGAUUUAUCGCCAAGAGAGGAGCCCGCGUCAGAUUAGCUAGUUGGUGAGGUAACGGCUCACCAAGGCGACGAUCUGUAGCUGGUCUUAGAGGACGAUCAGCCACACUGGGACUGAGACACGGCCCAGACUCCUACGGGAGGCAGCAGCUAGGAAUCUUGGACAAUGGGGGAAACCCUGAUCCAGCGACGCCGCGUGUGUGAUGAAGGCCUCGGUUGUAAG